rnacentral:rRNA from 1 species
GACGAACGCUGGCGGCGUGCUUAACACAUGCAAGUCGAACGAAGUGGCGAACGGGUGAGUAACGCGUAAUCAACCUGCCCUUCAGAGGGGGACAACAGUUGGAAACGACUGCUAAUACCGCAUACUGAAGGCGGGGAUUGCGUCUGAUUAGCUAGUUGGUGGGGUAAAGGCCUACCAAGGCGACGAUCAGUAGCGGGUCUGAGAGGAUGAUCCGCCACACUGGGACUGAGACACGGCCCAGACUCCUACGGGAGGCAGCAGUGGGGAAUUUUGGACAAUGGGCGCAAGCCUGAUCCAGCCAUGCCGCGUGUCUGAAGAAGGCCUUAGGGUUGUAAAGGACUUUUGUCAGGGAAGCGGUACCUGAAGAAUAAGCACCGGCUAACUACGUGCCAGCAGCCGCGGUAAUAC